CAGCAGCCGCGGUAAUACGUAGGUAGCAAGCGUUGUCCGGAAUUAUUGGGCGUAGAGGGCUCGCAGGCGGUUUCUUAAGUCUGAUGUGAAAGCCCCCGGCUCAACCGGGGAGGGUCAUUGGAAACUGGGAAACUUGAGUGCAGAAGAGGAGAGUGGAAUUCCACGUGUAGCGGUGAAAUGCGUAGAGAUGUGGAGGAACACCAGUGGCGAAGGCGACUCUCUGAUCUGUAACUGACGCUGAGGAGCGAAAGCGUGGGGAGCGAACAGGAUUAGAUACCCCUGUAGUCCCUGUCUCUUAUAC
rnacentral:rRNA from 1 species